GAGGUGGGAGAAUUGCUGGAGUCCAGGGGUUCCAGGCUGCAGUGAGCUGUGAUCAUGCCACUGCACUCCAGCCUGAGUGACAGAGCAAGAACCUGUCU
ensembl:miRNA